ACCGCCAUCGUCUAAUUGGACUAGGACGCCUUGGUUUCACCCUUGGAAUGCGGGUUCGAACCCCGCUGGCGGUACCA
rnacentral:tRNA from 1 species